AGUGAACGCUGGCGGCAGGCCUAACACAUGCAAGUCGAGCGGCAGCGCGGGGGCAACCCUGGCGGCGAGCGGCGGACGGGUGAGGAAUGCAUCGGAAUCUACCUCGUUGUGGGGGAUAACCUCGGGAAACCGGGACUAAUACCGCAUACGACCUACGGGUGAAAGUGGGGGACCUUCGGGCCUCACGCGAUGAGAUGAGCCGAUGCCGGAUUAGCUAGUUGGCGGGGUAAAGGCCCACCAAGGCGACGAUCCGUAGCUGGUCUGAGAGGAUGAUCAGCCACACUGGAACUGAGACACGGUCCAGACUCCUACGGGAGGCAGCAGUGGGGAAUAUUGGACAAUGGGCGCAAGCCUGAUCCAGCCAUGCCGCGUGUGUGAAGAAGGCCUUCGG
rnacentral:rRNA from 1 species